UACUUUGCAUGGGAGUGGUGUCCGGUGCGGUGCAAAUCAGAAUAUGGUUCUUACCUUUGAAGAACAGCACAGCACAAGGCUAACUGAAUCUCUACUUUAUGGAAGAAAAAGCAUCUCUCUAGUGGCCGAAGGAAUCCGCAAAUGCAGAGGAAGCAUACAACGAAUCACAUUCACGCAUGCAGAGAUGCUUUAUCAUUAUUAUUAUUCUCCGAUUAGAGGAGCGUCACUUUCAAACCUCAAGUCUUGUCAUAUCAACAAACAGAAACCAAUCCACCUUAUAUAUCUCUGCACAAUGCGGAUCCCCUCGCUUCACAACAACCAGGGGAUUUUCAAUUCCUGCCUGACACCAUGAGCGGCCCCCUCUACGAUCACCGGCGACUUCCUCCGCCACCACGGCAUCCAAUUCCUCUGCAAAGAGGAGGCUUCAUUCCGGGGUUUCAGGGGCGCUGGAUCUGAAAAUUUUGAUGAAAUUUAAUCCAUUGCAGAUGGAGGUUUCCUGGAUCCGGUGAUAUUCAUGGAUGAAAGAACACCUUUAGGAUAUGGCAGGUAAGGGUAAAGCAAAGGCCGAGGGCGAGGAUCGUUCCAUUUAGCAGCCGGCCGCGUUGGUAAGGUGUACAGUUAGCUGCCCCCGUCAUCUCUGAUGUUUUGCUAGAGUCGCUGUCUUUUAUUUUUGACUGUGCCAGGUUGUCAUUUGUACCUCCUAUUGUUGGCACAGGGUCUGUAUGUAUUUUUAUAUACUUCAUGACCGCUGUAUCAGCGGGGUGCUUGUGGGCAUGCAUGUUUACCGUUUUGCUUC